rnacentral:rRNA from 1 species
UUAGAGUUUGAUCCUGGCUCAAGAUGAACGCUGGCGGCGUGCUUAACACAUGCAAGUCGAACGGAGCUGUAUUGAAACCUAGUGAUAUGCAGCUUAGUGGCGGACGGGUGAGUAACGCGUGGGCAACCUGCCGCAUACCGGGGGAUAACACUUAGAAAUAGGUGUUAAUACCGCAUAAGCGCACAGAGCCGCAUGGCUUGGUGUGAAAAACUCCGGUGGUAUGCGAUGGGCCCGCGUCUGAUUAGCUGGUUGGCGGGGUAGAAGCCCACCAAGGCGACGAUCAGUAGCCGACCUGAGAGGGUGACCGGCCACAUUGGGACUGAGACACGGCCCAAACUCCUACGGGUGGCAGCAGUGGGGAAUAUUGCACAAUGGGGGAAACCCUGAUGCAGCGACGCCGCGUGGGUGACGAAGUAUUUCGGUAUGUAAAGCCCUAUCAGCAGGGAAGAAGAUGACAGUACCUGACCAAGAAGCCCCGGCUAACUACGUGCCAGCAGCCGCGGUAAUACGUAGGGGGCAAGCGUUAUCCGGAUUUACUGGGUGUAAAGGGAGCGUAGGUGGCAUGGCAAGCCAGAAGUGAAAACCCGGGGCUUAACCCCGCGGAUUGCUUUUGGAACUGUCAGGCUGGAGUGCAGGAGGGGCAGGCGGAAUUCCUAGUGUAGCGGUGAAAUGCGUAGAUAUCAGGAGGAACACCGGUGGCGAAGGCGGCCUGCUGGACUGUAACUGACACUGAGGCUCGAAAGCGUGGGUAGCAAACAGGAUUAGAUACCCUGGUAGUCCACGCUGUAAACGAUGAUUACUAGGUGUGGGUGGACUGACCCCAUCCGUGCCGGAGUUAACACAAUAAGUAAUCCACCUGGGGAGUACGGCCGCAAGGCUGAAACUCAAAGGAAUUGACGGGGGCCCGCACAAGCAGUGGAGUAUGUGGAUUAAUUCGAUGCAACGCGAAGAACCUUACCAGGUCUUGACAUCCCGCUAACGAGGCAGAGAUGCGUUAGGUGCCCUUCGGGGAAAGCGGAGACAGGUGGUGCAUGGUUGUCGUCAGCUCGUGUCGUGAGAUGUUGGGUUAAGUCCCGCAACGAGCGCAACCCCUGUCCUCAGUAGCCAGCAUUUAAGGUGGGCACUCUGGGGAGACAGCCGGAGACAAUCCGGAGGAAGGCGGGGAUGACGUCAAAUCAUCAUGCCCCUUAUGUUCUGGGCUACACACGUGCUACAAUGGCGCCUACAAAGUGAAGCGAGCGAGCGAUCGUAAGCAAAACACAGAAAAGGCGUCCCAGUUCGGAUUGCAGGCUGCAACCCGCCUGCAUGAAGCUGGAAUCGCUAGUAAUCGCGGAUCAGAAUGCCGCGGUGAAUACGUUCCCGGGUCUUGCACUCACCGCCCGUCA